UACGUAGGGUGCGAGCGUUAUUCGGAAUUACUGGGCGUAAAGCGUGCGCAGGCGGUUUAUCAAGACAGGCGUGAAAUCCCCGGGCUCAACCUGGGAACUGCGCUUGUGACUGGUAGGCUAGAGUGUGGCAGAGGGGGGUGGAAUUCCACGUGUAGCAGUGAAAUGCGUAGAGAUGUGGAGGAACACCGAUGGCGAAGGCAGCCCCCUGGGCUAACACUGACGCUCAUGCACGAAAGCGUGGGGAGCAAACAGG
rnacentral:rRNA from 1 species